rnacentral:lncRNA from 1 species
GAAAAAGUUAUCCCAGACAGACAAAUUAGAUCCUGGUAGCUGAAAUGAUCUUAAAGCUGUCAACUACUAUAAGCAGUCAAAUGGAUCAUACAAUCUGCAAUAUGGUUGAGUGAUAGGCCUCCAAAGGAAGCAACUGGACAUCGGCCAGCUGAAGAGGUCAGCCAGAGGAUCCUACUAUGGUCGUUAAGAAUUGUGGACUUUUCUUUUUGCACAUGCACCACAGAAAAACCAAGAUGCUCCAAUGCUGUCAGUAAAAGCAAGCCCAGGAUAGGGAGAUGUUGUCACUUUUAGGAGUGUGAACUGAAGACAUCCAUAUUCACAUCUAGUUCGGCUCACUUGUCAUCUGCAUCUCUGGCACCAAGUUCUUUUCCCUCUGUGUGAACGGAAUUUCUUUUGGUGAACUCUGAUGAAGCUUCUGAGAAAAACUUCUGGCCACAAGUUUACUACGUCUGUACUUCACCAUUGUUUUCUUUCUCUGUGAUUUUUUUGAAGUUCUUCAUAAACUGAAGAACAAGUUGGAAGUUCACAUGAGGUGAGAAAGCUGAAAUUACACAGACAUUUCCUUGAACAAACAAUAUACUUCAAUCUCCCCCCACUGACUCAUCAUCAGGCAGUUUGUUUAUUUGCCUAUUUAACUGGGUUUUCCCAAACAAAGGAGGGACCUUGCUAUGCAAAGUCCUCUUCAGAAGUCGCAUCCAUUUUAGAAGACAUGUGAAAUAAAAUGGAGAGAAAACGAAGGGCUGAGAAAUCCUCAAAGCUGCAUACAUCUGGUUUUGAUUUGGGUCUGUAUUUUUCUUUCCCUCUGGUAGCUUUCGUUUUCAAAGCGGCCAGUGGGUGAAACAUUUUAAUUGAUGCAACCCUUUUUCCAAUGUCCUGGUGGUCAUCCCUGAAACCGUGUCGCAUGGUUCUCUAAAAAUGCAUCGAUGAUAGAAACCCUCUGUCUCCUACUUUGUUCAGACGCUUGCAAAAAUCUUUCUUAAUUGAUCCCACGUGUUGUAGUGUGGCUAAGGUAUCAAUAUUUCAUAGCACUAAGACGGAACUUGGAGUAGUAUCAGUUCCCCAUUCCCCCAACCCCAGGCUUGACUUAGCAUAGCAAGUUCUUUAGAUUUGCAAGGAGUGCCCGAAAAGUCAAUCAGUAAAAAUAAAUACAAGCUUUAUUCAGUUUAUACUGCAUCUGAAAUAUUAAUCUUUACAAUAAUUAGACUUAAGUUUUUCCUCUUCUCAAGCACAGAGGGAAGCUGUCUUAGUUCAUUUCAGGCUGCUGUAACAGAAUACCACAGUCAGGGCUUAUAAACAACAGGCGUUUAUUGCUCACAGUUCUGGAGGCUGGAGGUCCAAGACCAAGGUGUGGCAGUUUCAGUGUCUGGUGAGGGCUUCCUGGUUCACAGACGGCACCUUCUCACUGUGUCUUCAAAUGGUGGAAGGGGCGAGGGAGCUCUCUGGGGUGCAUUUUAUGAGGGCACUGAUCCCAUUCGUGAGGCUCCAUGCUCAUGACCUCAUCACUUCCCCAUGCCUCACCUCCUAGUACCUUUGGAGUUAAUGUUUCAAAAUAGGAAUUUGAGGAGAUAUGGACAAGCUGCAGGUAUUCAAGACUAUUACAUUAAUUUAGGAAGAUAAAUACAGGAAGGAAUUUAAGUUUAGCUGCAAAUGCAUGUGCCCACACACACACACACACACACACACACACACACACAAAUACAAGUUUUCUCAUUUUUUUCAAAGCUAGCUCCCCAUAGGCAGAGAUCUGCAGAAGAUGGGGCUCUGGACUUGAUAAUGUGUUCUAAUUCUCCCAAAUGUUGCUUUAUGAAUUUGGAUGCUAUGCUACUAGCUGAAAAAAAGUUCAACAUUUUUAUAAUCUUAUUUUAUAAUUUUAUAAAGUUCAGCAUUUUAUAAUUAUUUUUGACAAAAUUUUUUAUAACUUAACCACAACCUUCUUUACUUUUCUUUUCUUUUCUUUCUUUUUUUUUUUGAGACAGAAUCUCCCACUGUUGCCCAUGCUGGAAUGUAGUGGUGUGAUCAUGGCUUACUGCAGCCUUGACCUCCCAGGCUCAAGAGAUCCUCCUGUCUCAGCCUCACAAGUAACUGGGACUACAAGUGUGUGCCAUUAUGCCCAGCUAAUUUUUUUAAAUUAUUUGUAGAGAUGAGGUCUUACUAUGUUGCCCAAGCUGGUCUGAAACCCCUGGGCCUUUUUCCUUUCUUUUCUGCUUCUUGUUAACCAAACUACAGAAAUGUUGUAUUUACUUACUAUGUUAUUUUUUUCUCCAUACCUUUGAUCUUGGCCUUUUUCUGUUUGGGCCUUCAGACCCUUGGAAACAGCAAAGACCUGGAUUUUUUUCAAUCUCAUCUGAGAGUUCAUGUCUACUAAGAUAUAUUUUCAGGCCAUUUAUAUUUAUUACAGUUGAUAACAGUUUUACAAUGUAUUUCUUGUCUUCAAUUUUAUACAUUCUAUUAACCAUUCAUUUUCUUUGUUUCGAUAAUUUCUAUUUUCUGAUACCUAAGUGGGGUUUUUUUAAAAGUUUUUUUUCUUUUUUGAGAAAGCUGUUUUCAGUUUGUAUUCUUUUACGGACUGGCAAUAAAUUUAAUAUGCAUAGUAACAUUCACAGGAAAUAAAAUAAAGCUAAUAUUUAUACUCUCCUUCCAAACAAAGAAAUAACUUGUUUUAGCUCUGACCAUUGCAUUUUUCUCCUACAAGCUAUUGUGACCUUUAAUUUUAGUUCCACCUUCCUUUUAGACCCUCAAUAGAGAAUCACUUGAACCCGGGAGGUGGAGGUUGCAGUGAGCCGAAAUUGUGCCACUGCACUCCAGCCUGGGUGACAGAGUGAGACUCCAUCUGAAAAAAUAAAAAAUAAAAUAAAAUAAAAAACGGACCCUCCAUGGAGGUAUCCUUUUAUUAUUGGUGCUGGAUGGUGAUGGUGUUUUAUAUGGCUGACACUAGUUUUGAUUUAACUCCGGUUCCUCUAUUUUUCUGAUGACCAGUAAUUUUUUUUAUUACUUAACUUGUAUUUUAAGUACAGGUGUACAAGUGCAGGUUUGCUAUAUAGGUGAACUUCUGUCAUAGGGAUUUGUUGUCACCCAGGUACUAAGCCUGGUAGCCAUUAGUUGUUUUUCCUGAUCCUCUCCCUCCUCCCACUCUUCACCCACCAAAAGGACCUAGUGUCCGUUGUUCCCCUCUAUGUGUCCAUGAAUUCUCAUCAUUUAGCUCCCACUUGUAAGUGAGAACAUGCAGUAUUUUGUUUUCUGUUCCUGCAUUAGUUUGUUAAGGAUAAUGGCCUCCAGCUCCAUUCAUGAUCCCACAAAGGACAUGAUCUGGUUCUGAAUUCAGUCUAUCAUUGAUGGGCAUUUAGGUUGUGUAUUACUCCGUUUUCACAUUGCUAUAAAGAACUUCCCUGAGAGUGGGUAAUUUAUAAAGGAAAGAGGUUUAAUUGACUCAUAGUUCCACAUGGCUGGGGAGACCUCAGGAAACUUACAAUCAUGGCGGAAGGCAAAGGGGAAGCAGGGCACCUUCUUCACAAGGCGGCAGGAAAGAGAGAGUGCAGGGAAAACUACCACUUUUUUUUUUUUCUUGAGAAAGUUUUUCUCUUGUGCCCAGGCUGGAGUGCAAUGGUGCGAUCUCGGCUCACUGCAACCUCCGCUUCCCGGGUUCAAGCGAUUCUCCUGCCUCAGCCUCCUGAGUAGCUGGGACUACAGGCGCCCACCACCAAGCCCAUCUAAUUUUUGUAUUUUUAGUAGAGACGGGGUUUCACCAUGUUGCUCAGGCUGGUUACGAUCUCCUGACCUCAAGUGAUCCGCCUGCCUCGACCUCCCAAAGUGCUGGGAUGACAGGCGUGAGCCACUGCGCCUGGCCGGAUAACUGCCACUUUUAAACCAUCAGAUCCCAUAAGAACUUCUUCACUAUCAUGGGAACAGCAUGGGGGAAACCGCCGUCAUGAUCCAGUUACCUCCUCCAGGGCUCUCUCUCUGCACGUGGGAAUUAUGGGGUUUACAGUUCGAGGUGAGAUUUGGGUGGGGACACAGGGCCAAGCUACAUCAGGUUGAUUCCAUGGAUGCCCCGUAUUUCCUGCAUCUUCUGCCUUCCUCCAGCUUUGGUACCUCUCUCCCUAUAGAGCAUCUUUGAGUAGUUCCAACAGUGAGUCGAAGUAAGUGGAAAACACUCUGGCUCCAAAGUGGUGCAUUUAUUUCC